CCUUAAUGGUGUCUCUACAAUAGAUUUCGAGUUUGAUCCGAUCAAAUCCAGUUUUAUGAGUUCACUAGAUUGUGUUGGUUCUUCUACCUGUCAAACUUCAUAAGUUUCAUAUUAAAAGCAUCAAUACCUUCACUAAGGUACUCUUUUUCUGAAAGGAAUGCCGAACAACUCUUGUUCUUUAGCAUGGUAGAAGUUAUAUCCCUUAGAUUCUUUGAUUAUCCUACAAGAUAAUAUAUAUAGAAUCAAGAUCCUAG
rnacentral:lncRNA from 1 species